UUAGCUGCGGGCGUCUGAACAAGUCUGAACUACAAUACAUUCAGAGAAGCAAACAGUACAACCAAAGAGAUAUGCCUCUAUUCCUCUGCUCAUAGUCUAUGAGAGGAUUUCUGAAGGCUGGACCGCUGAGAGGGGGAAGACUGGAGAUGCUCGCGCUAGAGCAAUUUGACAAAUGCGAAAUUUAAAUAAAUAAAAAAUAUAUAGUUUUUAUUUUAUUUUAUUUUUUUAAGUCAUUCUCUGAAGAAGAAAAAUAAAUCUGGACUAUUGAAGGCAAUGUGUUAUAUCAUGUUUCACUAGAACUGCGUCAUUGGCUGCUUCACCUCGGUCUGUUGGUGACCCGUGUUGUGAGCUAUUCUAAAUUACCUGUUCAGGCCGAAGGGGCUGACCAUGACCUCAAUUGAACUCGUGUGAUUCGUCACUUUGGAUAUCUCACACUCAAAUAGGCAAGGCCCCAGUGUCUAGCAUCUGAAAAUGGGGUGCUUGCACCAAUGGACUCUGCUAGUUGCUGUAUUGCUGUAUCUACCAUCACAGUCUACGGCUCAAGGCCAGUGCAAUAAUGUUGGUGCUGCAGAUAUUGUGUUCCUGGUGGAUGGAUCAUCCAGCAUUGGCCGGGCAAAUUUUUUGCUGGUGAAGAGUUUCAUGGCAGGUAUUGUCAAACCAUUCGCCAGGGCAGUAGGACCCAAUGGCAUCCGCUUUGGAGCUGUACAGUACAGUGAUACUGCCAGGGUGGAAUUUACCUUCACUACAUAUCUGAAUGGCACUGAGCUUAUAACUGCCAUAGAGAAUAUCAACUAUAAAGGUGGAAACACACGCACUGGGGCUGGCCUCAAAUACAUUGCAGAAAACUUCUUCAGCCCUGUCUCUAUCAGAGACGUACCCAAGAUCACUAUUCUCAUUACUGAUGGUAAAUCUCAAGACUAUGUGCAGGAACCCUCUCAAAAACUACGUAAUCUAGGAGUCAAAAUGUUUGCAGUGGGUAUAAAGAGUGCAGAUGCAAAUGAGCUAAAUCUUAUUGCUUCUCCUCCACAAAGUGAAUUCAUCUCACAGAUUGGGAACUUUAAAGCUCUCAGUUCUUUGCUGCCCCUAGUGUCUCCACGCAUCUGUACAACAAGUGGAGGCUCUUACUCCAGUGAUGAAGCUUUCAGUGGUCCAUCAGAUUUGCUGUUUUCAAGUGAGACCACUGAUUCGCUGAGAUUUCGAUGGACGUCUGCAGGAGGGCCUGUGAGUGGCUACGUGGUUCAGUACAGGCCCCUAACUGGCUUGGGUCAACCAAUCACAGCAGAGCUCCGACAGGAAACGAUACCGAGCAGCCAGCAGAGCUAUGUUGCACGAGAACUGCGUUCAGGCACAGACUACCUGAUCACUGUGAUCGCUCAGUACCCCAAUAGCUUGGGAGAGUCCAUUUCAGCCAAGGCCAGAACAAAGCCUCUCCCAGGUGUGACUGCACUGCAGCUGGUUCAGGCUGGGUUCUUUACUCUUGCAUUGGCCUGGAAUGCUCCAGCUGGCCAAGUACAGGGCUACAGAAUUACCUAUGGACCUACAGGUCAGCCAGAUGCGCAGUUGGUGGAGCAGUCUGUGGGGGCGGAGUCUACUUCUCUGACUUUGCAGAGUCUUAAGGCAGACACAGAAUAUAUCAUCAACCUGUACCCUCUAUUUUCCCGCAACAGUGCCUCACCAGCUACUCUGACUGCACGCACACUGCGUUUAGAGGGAGUGCAGCAGCUCUCUGUUGAGACCAUUUCCAGCAACAGUGUUCAAGUCCGCUGGACAGGAGUGACAGGGGCCAGAGGAUAUAGAGUCGUCUGGGGCCCUUUAACAGGAAGUGAUGUGGAAACCGUAGAGCUGAGAGGUGAUAGUGAAUCUCACACACUGGUGAAUCUGCAACCAGACACCGAGUACAUUGUUACAGUCAUCUCCUUGUACAAUGGUGAAGCUGAAGGACCUGCGGCCACUACACGCUUUAAGAUAGAGCGCUCAGAGCAACAGGUCCUGAGAGCCACGACAACAGGACCCACCAGCAUCAGAUUAAGCUGGAACCUUAUACAGGCUGCCAGGGGUUAUAGGCUGGAGUGGAAAGCUGGAGAGAGGGGCAGAGUUCUGAGGCAGGAUCUACCACAGAGCACCACCAACUAUGAGCUGAGAAGUCUGCAGCCAAGCACUGAGUACAUCAUAACUCUAUUUACACUCUACGAUGGGCGAGAGGAGGCUACAUUCUUUUCAACCAAAUCAACAGUAGAGCAGCCAGUUGGUCGUGUCACAAACCUGAGGGUGCUGGAGACACUUGGCAACAUUAUACGAUUGGGAUGGACAGGAGUCGCUGGGGCAACAGAAUACAGCAUUGCCAUACUUAAUACACAAUCAAAUAGAGAGCUGAGCAGAAGAGUUCCUGGAAAUCAGACCACCCUGGACCUACGGGACCUUGAAGAUGGUGGACGCUACGCUGUCAGUGUGACUGCACUGGUUGGGUCCAAUAAAGGAGAUCCGGACACUGUGUACUUUACAGCAGGUCAACCACUGAGGGUGACCAACUUCCGGCUAGUCAGCAGCAACAACGGACGAAUCAGGAUUGCAUGGACUGGCAUUUCUGGGGCGACAGGUUACCGGGUUACCUGGAGACAAGGAAGCAGUGCAGAGCGAUUCCGUGUCCUAGGUGGCGAUAUCAAUACUUACACUAUAGGCGGGCUGCAGCCAGAUGAACCUGUAGUUGUGGGCGUUGCCCCAGUGAUUGAUGGGCAGAUUGGGGAAGUCGUCACUAUUUCUUCUAGAACCAGUGGCCCCAAUGGAACAAUUACAGGGUUGCGUGUGAAUGAAGUUUCAUCCACAAGGAUACUAAUAUCCUGGGCUGCUGUGAAUAGAGCAACAGGCUACAAAAUCACCUGGCGGCGUAGUGACGGAGUGGAAGACUCUGAGAACGUAGCUGCUGAUGUGACUUCCUAUGCCAUUGAUAGACUCCAAGAAGGUGCCACAUACCAAGUAUUAGUCUCAGCCCUUUUUAACUCAAGGGAAGGACCUGCUGCCACUGUGACUGCAAAGACAGGGAGAGUGAUACAGAAAGACACUGUAGAGGGCUUGCGUGUGUUGGAUUCGACCCCAGGGAGGCUGAGAAUAACAUGGAGAACAGUGAGGGGAGCCAGUGCAUAUCGAAUCUAUUGGAGGUCCUCACAAGGAGAGACUGAAUCAAGUCGUCUCAUUAGUGGGGAUGCAACCUCAUAUACGCUUGAUGGACUUCGCCCUGGUUUGAGCUACACUGUAAGAUUAUCUGCUGUGGUGGAACGUGGAGAGACUGAAGCUGCCACCAUCCAGGCAUCCACUGAUGCCCUGCCACCUGUGACAGGUUUGCGUGUGACUGACAGUACGGAGAAUUCAGUGCUUUUGGGCUGGUCACCAUUAACAGGAGCCACAGGCUAUUUAUUACGUUGGAGAGAGGAGAGAGACACAGGAUCUGGUCAGUCUGAGACGCUGCCCGGUACAGCCAGAUCUUUCCGUGUGAUGGGUCUGCGGCUGGGCCGUCGGUACCGCUUCACUGUGCAGCCCAACUUUCAGAACCAGGUCGGACCUGAGAGCAGUGUGGAGGAGCGCACAGUGUGUGUUGGAGGGCGUUUGGAUGUGGUCUUUCUUGUCCCUGCCUCUCGUGACCGCUCUGGCCUGGCAGCACCUGUGUUGUCUCUGUUGGCCAGUGCUGCUGGAUCCUUCACCUCUAUCGGACCCAGAGACUCUCAGAUGGGGGUGGUGGUGUACAGUGAAGAUCCAAAAGUGGGCUUCCUCCUCAAUCGUCAUAGCAACAGCGAGACCCUUCUGCAGGAAAUUCAGUCCACCCCUUUCAAUGACAGAUCAGGAAAUAAUAUAGGCCGGGCAAUGACGUUUGCUAGGCAGUUUCUGCUGAGCGCAUCUGCAGGUCGAAGGUCAGGUGUUCCUGGUGUGGUUGUCAUUAUCGCUGAUGAGAAAUCAGCUGAUGAUGUCAGCCAGCCUGCUGCUGCUGUUAGGGCUGAUGGUGUGACAGUGUUGGCGGUAGGAAUUGGACGUGGAGACCCUGGAGAACUGCGUUUGGCAGUGACUGAUGGCAGCACCCAGAAUCUGCUCUACGCUCAAGACACAAAUCAGCUCUAUAGUCUCCACCCUGACUUGGCAGAUCUCAUCUGUGGCCUUGCACGAGGGACCGUUGUCACGACGGGGCCUUGUACGGUUGAAUGUCCCAGGGGUGCUAAAGGGGAACAGGGACAGAAGGGUGAGAGGGGCAGAGAUGGAGUGGAUGGAAGGAAAGGCGAGCCUGGUCGUGAUGGUCUACCUGGUCGUGGAGGCACCAGAGGGCCGGAGGGGCCACCAGGUCAACCUGGUAGCAGUCUAGGAGUGAGAGGAGAGAAAGGCGAGAGGGGUUUCCCAGGUCUGGAUGGCAGUUCAGGUGUUCCAGGUCGCCCUGGUACACCUGGCGCAGUUGGACUUCCAGGAAGUCAGGGAUUACCAGGUGUUAGAGGAGACCCUGGAGAACCAGGUAUUGCAGGCCCUCAGGGGUUGAAGGGAGAGAAAGGUGAAAGGGGAGAACCUGGAUCUGCUGUGGGAGGAGGGUUACCAGGUCGUAAAGGAGAGCCAGGAAUCCCAGGGUUCCCUGGCACUCCCGGACGCCUGGGUGUGGAUGGGGCAAAAGGAGAGGCAGGUGCACGCGGUCUGCCCGGGCAGGAUGGUCGCCCUGGGUUACCAGGGACUCCUGGACUUUCUAUUAAGGGUGAGAAAGGCAGCCCUGGAGAGAGGGGUCCUCCUGGAGUGGGCAGCGGGGUGGCAGCUAAGGGAGAUGCUGGUGAACCUGGAAGCCCUGGACCGCCUGGUCCGCAGGGCCCACGAGGACUGACUGGACCAAAAGGAACCAAAGGAGAACUAGGAGAAAGUUCUGAGGGUAAACCAGGACUCCCAGGAAAGACUGGAGACCCUGGUGAUCGGGGUCCCCGGGGACCUCCUGGUGAAAUCGGGAGUAAGGGUGACCGAGGACAGGCUGGAGCAACUGGAGCAGAUGGAGCCAAGGGAGAUAGAGGCCCAGCUGGUCCAACAGGAGACAAGGGUGAUAAGGGUUCACCAGGCCCCCCUGGACUUCAAGGACUCAGGGGUUUGCCAGGCAGCAACGGUCUUCCUGGAGAGAAGGGUGCUGAGGGUGCAAAAGGGGAACCAGGAGCCGGUGGUCCAGGUUCGUUAGGGAAGAAAGGAGAGCAGGGUGUAAGGGGCUUUCUAGGUCCUGAUGGUCCUAAAGGUGAUAAAGGAGAAUCAGGUCCAAAAGGGGAAAAGGGUACACCUGGAGCAGGAGAACCUGGCCAACCUGGAACUAAAGGAGACCAGGGGAAUCGGGGUCUGCCUGGAUUAUCUGGAAAACCUGGUGCAAAGGGCAGUCAAGGUGACACAGGAGAGAGAGGGGAAGCGGGCAGUCCUGGUUCACAAGGGCCCAUGGGGCCCAGAGGGAAAGAUGGACUGAAAGGAGACAAAGGAGAGGAUGGCAUUCCAGGAGAGCCAGGGUUGUCUGGUAAAUCAGGGGAGAGAGGUCUAAGAGGACUGCCAGGUCAAGCAGGUCAGCCUGGGCCAAAAGGAGACACAGGUGAUCCAGGGGAAGAUGGACGAAAUGGCAUCCCAGGGGCCACUGGAUCAAGAGGACCAAAGGGAGAGCAGGGAAUACAAGGUCCCCCUGGGCCGCCUGGAGAUGUGGUAACAGGAGAGAAACAACUGAAAGGUGACAGAGGAGAAAAGGGAGAGGCAGGUGACCCAGGGGAGCAUGGGGCUAAAGGUCAGAAGGGUGAACCAGGAGCAUCAGGCCCUGCAGGACCAAGCGGCCCUGAGGGACAACGUGGACUACCAGGAGGCAGAGGUGUCCCAGGAGAUAGGGGCAGUCCAGGAGACAAGGGAGACAGAGGAGCUGCUGGUUUGGAUGGACGACCUGGUCAGGAUGGAAAACCUGGGCUGCCUGGAGCUCCUGGUUUACGGGGUGAUCCAGGAAAACAAGGGGAAUCUGGUAGAGAUGGUUUGGGUGGACUCAGAGGGCCUCAAGGGCCUCCAGGACCCCCAGGGCCCCUAGGACCUGAAGGAAAACCAGGUAAAGCAGGGGAGGAUGGGAAGCCAGGACUGCCUGGAAAAUCUGGUGAAGAUGGUGUGCCAGGGGAGGAUGGUCGAAAGGGAGAUAAAGGAGAGCCUGGGCCUUCCGGAAGAGAUGGUCGAGAUGGGAUAAAAGGCGAUCAAGGCAUUGCAGGACUGAUUGGCCCUACUGGCCCCAUUGGACCCCCUGGGGUUUCCGGCAGCAUUGGACCACCAGGACCAGUAGUAUAUGUUAAAGGGGAGCCAGCAACACCUAUUCCAGGCCCCCAAGGCCCUCCAGGAACCCCUGGAGUACCUGGAGUUCCAGGAACUGCUGGAACUAGAGGGGAAAGAGGUCUACAGGGCUUGAAAGGAGAAGCAGGAGAUCCAGGGGAGGAUGGAAAACCAGGAACUGCAGUGGAUGUGAAGAGAGCUUUUUCAGAAUUUGGCAUUGAGAUCAGAGAACUGAAACUAUUGGUUGAUGAAAAAAACAAAAUAAUAUCACAGUUCGAUGCACUUGACGAGGGAAAAAAAGGGGAUAAAGGAGAUGUUGGACCUAGAGGCCCUCCAGGAGCAGAUGGUGCACGAGGUCUGCCAGGUGAGCGAGGUGUAAAAGGAGAGCAAGGUGAAAAAGGGCCUCCCGGCUUACAGGGUCCCCCAGGCAGGGCUAUUGGAGAGAGGGGUCCAGAGGGUCCACGAGGACAGGCAGGUGAGCCUGGAAAACCAGGAAUACCAGGAGUGCCAGGACGAGCCGGUGAACUUGGAGAAGCUGGCAGACCUGGAGACAAGGGAGACAAAGGGGAGAAAGGGGACGGAGGUUCAGCUGGUCCGGCUGGAUUGCCCGGCCUUGUGGGGCCUCCAGGACCAAAGGGGGAUUCUGCCAUAACUCAGAGUGGUUUGCCUGGUCUUAGGGGCCUACCAGGCCCACAGGGUAUCAGAGGAGAGCCUGGUGCUGUAGGACCCCCUGGAUCUCCUGGAGAACGGGGCUAUGGAGGUGCACGAGGGGAGAAAGGAGACAAAGGAGCCAGUGGAGAGAGCGGAAAAGAUGGCUCCCCAGGAAAUCCAGGAGAGCCAGGAAAACCAGGGCAGGAUGGGAAGCCGGGUUUGAGGGGACCAGCCGGUCCAUCAGGCCUACCUGGAAAUCCAGGAGAACCAGGAAUUAGAGGACCAACUGGUCCGAUGGGUGGAAAUGGACCCCCAGGGGCUCCUGGUGUGAAGGGUGACCAAGGAGAGCCAGGCAUUGGAGUUCAAGGCCCUCCUGGACCUCAGGGCAACAGAGGGUUACCUGGACCACCUGGCACUCCAGGAGCCAUAGGACCACAAGGACCACCAGGGCUUCCCGGACAAGUGGGAGAGGGGGGCAAGCCUGGGGUCACAGGGAGAGAUGGAGCUCCAGGGAAAGAUGGCCUGCCAGGAUUACCUGGGAAACAGGGUAUUGCUGGACCCAUUGGCUCCCCGGGACUUAAAGGAGAGCAAGGAGACAGCGGGCCACCAGGAAAAUCUGUCAUCGGACCCCCUGGAAUUAAGGGUGAGAUGGGGCCUCCUGGUCUGACAUUGCCUGGUACUGUUGGAGAAAGAGGGCUUCCUGGAUUAUCAGGCCCCAAAGGAGACAAGGGGCCAGCAGGUAUCAAAGGAGACAGAGGGGCUACAGGUGAUCCUGGAGAGCCAGGGGACAAUGGAGAGAGAGGACCACCAGGGCCCAAAGGCGUUAAAGGAGAGGCUGGUGUAGGGAUGGCUGGACCUGCAGGACAAUCUGGACCCAUCGGUUUAAAGGGUGACCCUGGCUUACCAGGUCCUCCGGGUCCUCCAGGGCCACGUGGUUUGGAUGGGACCCCAGGACUGGCAGGACAGAGAGGAGAAGUAGGUCAGCCAGGACCCCCUGGACCACCAGGAGAACGGGGUAUCCAAGGUUAUACUGGCAAAGCAGGCAACCCUGGAACACCAGGAUCUGUUGGACCACCAGGACCCCCUGGAUCUGCAGGCCUUUCAGGACUAAAGGGUGAUAAGGGUGAAAUUGGUGUCGGAGUGCCAGGUCUAAGAGGAGAGAGAGGAGACCCAGGUCCUCGGGGAGAAGAAGGUCGGGCUGGACUGGAUGGAGAAAGAGGCUCUACUGGUCCUCCAGGCGGCAAAGGGAACAGAGGAGAUAAGGGCGAUCAAGGUCCUUCAGGAAUUAAAGGAGAAAAGGGAGAUACUCUGCUGGCGGGGGGGCCUCCAGGGGAGAAAGGAAUUAAAGGAGAAACAGGAGAUCGAGGACCUAAAGGUGCACAGGGUGAGAAGGGUGUAAAAGGACAAGAAGGACCGGCAGGUGAAAAGGGCCUGAGGGGGGAGCCAGGAGAGAGAGGUUCCACUGGCUUCCAAGGAGCCCGUGGUCCUGGUGGUCAGAAGGGAGAAGCAGGGCAACCAGGAGUCCCAGGAGAAGCGGGAACACCUGGUAAAGAUGGCCUGCCUGGCAUAAGAGGAGAAAAGGGAGAGAUUGGGCACAUGGGUCUGCGAGGCCUCAAGGGAGAACGAGGUGCCAAGGGGUCAUGUGGACCAAGCGGACAGAAAGGAGACAAGGGUGAUGCUGGGAUUAAUGGUAGACCGGGAUUGCUAGGGAGAAAAGGAGAGCAGGGUGAAGCAGGGCCUACAGGUCCCAUGGGAAGCCCAGGGAAGGAGGGACUCAUUGGAGCCAAGGGUGACAGAGGCUUUGAUGGAGUUAUAGGGCCAAAGGGAGCACAGGGAGAGAAAGGUGAACGGGGCCCACAUGGUAUCCCUGGCCCUCCUGGUCUGAGAGGUGUGGAUGGACCCCCUGGUUUAACUGGUCCUCAAGGACCUGCUGGAGGUAAAGGUCCAGAGGGACUGCAGGGACAAAAGGGAGAACGAGGUCCUUCAGGGCCUGCCAUGGUGGGCCCACGUGGCAUUCCAGGGAUCCCAGGAGAGAGAGGAGAACAGGGCGAGAUAGGCCCUGAUGGACCUAAAGGAGACAGAGGAGAACCAGGCAUGAUGGAGGGUGAGAUUCAGGCUUAUGUUCGAAGUGAGAUGAACCUGCAUUGUGUCUCUACCAGAUGGGUUCAAAAGUCGCCAGAUAUCUGCAAGACCGAGAUUUUUACACAUCCUGUGAAGCGUCAAUGUUGCUCUUGGGGGCUUGCACACUUUUGCUUCACUAUGAUCAAGAACGGAGUCCAUCAAAUGAUUAAAGUCCCCUCCAAUAUUAUAUCAUGAGGUGUACCAGCGGCUUGCAACAUCCCUUCAAGAUCUGUAAAAAAGCCCUUAUCAUCAGCGUUAGGUACGUAAAUAUUAGACAAAAUCAACCUUUGCCCCUGAAUUUCUGCUAAAACAAUAAUGACUCUUCCUAAUUUAUCAUUAAUCUGUUUAAGACAUUUGAAUUGUAGAUGUUUAUUUAUCAGUAUAGUGACUCCCCCACUCUUACUUGAGCCAGCACUAAAAAAACAUGUCCACCCCAUAUCUUCCCAAAUUUUUCAGCUUCCUGUGGGGAAAGAUGUGUUUCUUGAAGAAACACUAUAUUAACUUGACCUUUAACCUCCUAGUAGUCCUCCUCUCGUAGCGCCCACUUUUCACAAUCUAAUCAAUUUCCAAUUGAUAAAAUCAAGUCCUGUCCUGCAUUGUUUUUCUUGUUGAAUCUUGUUUCAUUCUGAAAUAUGUCACAUUAUGAAAGUAAAAUGGGUUGUAAAUGUCUUUACAUGUUACUUUCUCUCUGUGGAAAACCACAAAAUUGUUACAUUUCUCAUUUAAUCAGUUCUCUCUAUCUCUCUCCCCCUAAGCUUGUGGAGGUAAGUUGUGACUUUGCUUUUGCCUUAACAUAGGCAGUAAACAUUUUCCUACUAUUGCAUCAGCCUUAAACUCAUGUGCACUCAGUAAACUAACUGUAGUUUUGAGUGUGACUGUCUUGUGUGGUCUCAGUCUAUUAAACCUUUGUUUAAUUUAAAUAUGUUUGUGAGAAUGCCUGAUUUUUGUCCAUCUGGCUGAACUUCUGGGUUUUGUGCAUCUUAAUUUUCUUGCGCUUGACCUUUGAGUACAGCUUUACACACAUGGUUGCCUGUGAGAGUGCGUUUCUCAUUGAGGGUGUGUGUGUGUUUUUACUGAUGGGUUUUGUUAUCUUGCGUUUGUGUGAUUCGUUGUGGGCGUGUUCUCAGGUGUUAAAGAAGUUCAGAUCUCUGCACCAGUGCAGUCUUACCGAAGUCGCUCCUCCACGUCCCCUGAGCGCUCUCUAACCCGUGGGGACGAGGAGGGUCAGAAGCUGCAUGUAGUAAUGAACACUAAUGAUCCAGACUAUGAGCACAUUUACUCUAUAGAGACCUAUGAUGAUGAUGCUCCAAUGGUGGAGACUGCUGACUACGACACCACUGUCAAUAAAAGUCAGGGCGAAAUGGUCUCUGUUGAUUCAUUAAAAGCUGAAAGGACAAAAAGAGAGGUGAAAGGUGAAGACCCAUGCAUCUUGCCGAUGAAUGAGGGUGAUUGCUCCCGCUAUUCUCUGCGCUGGUACUUUAACUCUCAGGUGGGCGUCUGUAGACCUUUUAUCUACAGCGGCUGUGGAGGAAAUGCUAACCGCUAUUUACAAAAAGAAGAGUGCGAGCAACAAUGUCUACAACAGUGAGAAGAUUUGUGUUGUUGCCUCUGUGGGCUUGAAGACAAGAGUGGACUGUAAACAGAGGAUCUCAAACUCAUCUUUAAUAUAGAAAACAUAAAGCUCAGUGUUGGGCACUGCCAUCAUGCACAAAAGAUGUUUCAGAGAUGAUUAGAGAAGGUAAAGAUUUAUAUCAGCACCUUAUCCUCAACUGCCAAGCAAAUUCUAAAUAUUGAGAUUUUUCUUAUUUAUUUUAUUUUGUUAUCUGUUAAUAUAUAUUUCCGUCAAUAUACACACACUAUAAAAGUUGCACCCAACUUGCAAAUACCAUUUGGGUGCUGACACUGUAUUUUACUAUUAUAAAACACUUGUGGCUCUCCAUUCAAUCACAGCAUAUCACAUUAUCAUUCACAUUAAAUUAAUUUGCGUAUUAACAUAAAAUGAACACAAAGACAUUUUCUCAGCUGCUAAGAACAUUGGUCUCUCAUAUUGUAAUUCUUCAGUUCUUCAGUUUAUCUUAGACUUGUUCUUAGAAGUCUACGCUGUACAAAAUUGUACUGUAAAUGUAGAUCUGUGUUUUAAUCAGCUUGAAAUUCAGGAUGAAUUUUCUUGUAUUAUUAGAUGGUGCAUGUUUAACAAAUGGUGCUAUUUUUAAAGAUAUUUUUAUAUUGUUGGUUGAUUGUAAUAUUUUCAUGUAUGUCAUGGAUUAUAUUCAGUAUUUGUGCUCCAUUAUAGUAUGUACAUUACAGUCCCCACUGUCCUGUUCAUUUAAAGUGAUCUAAACGGAUUGCAUUAUUCUUUGCACAAGACACCCCAUGUCUGUUUUAAAAGUCAUCAUUUUCCAAAAGCCCAGAGGUAUAUUCACAGUAAACCCUUUUUUAGGCUGGUUCUACACAUACUGUAAAGUGAAAUUUGUUUUAUUUUUGUGUUGAACAUUUGCUGGGAAUUAAGACUGACAUCUAAAUUGGAAAAAUAAACAUGAAACAAAAGAAGUCUCGUUUGGAUUUAGCUAAAUAUUUGAAUUAAUGUAAUUUUUUUGUUGUAGCUCUCAAUUAAACAAUGAGUUAUUUAUAGUCUACAUUCAGAGUUGGUAAGGUCCAUAAACAUUUAUUCACACUGUAUGAUUGUAUGAGAAUGCAAGAACAAAUACAGUAGAUCUACAUUUCACUUGUCUUUAUCUUAUAUAUCAACCAGAUUCUCAUUAAAAGUUCAGUGACCACCUGUAGUUCAUGAAGACCAGAACUACAUGGUCUUUUCAUUGUC